rnacentral:lncRNA from 1 species
ACGGUAUUGGUCAGUAUUAAAUUACUAUGCCUGACUCUCUGUUUUUUCCACAGUGAUCGAUUACGAACAACAAACAAUCUUCUUGGGGAUGUAUAUGCGUGUGCUGUGAUAGAAAAAUUAUCCAAACAGGACUUGGAGGCUGUGCAGCGCGAUGAGGAGAGAGCCAGAGCCAGAUAUCAACAAACAUCGAUGGGAUCACCUCAAGAAAGCAGAAGUGAGAGUGCCAUUAUGGUCGAACACAAGAAUAAUGGGCUCCUUACGUCAUCGCCAUAAUAACUGAUUGCAUAGAUUAACAACAUUUUAUUCGAACAAUUGUUAAGUUUUUAGAGUAAUUAUGAACAGUAUUAUCUUCAGUGAAGAUGUUAAGUCAAUGUGAUAGAUGGAAACAGUAUUGAUGGCCUACUCAAUUUAUAUAGUUGAAUAGACAUAUUAUUCGUUUCUGUGUUACAGUAAUUUAGAUAAUGUCGAUGUACAACAGGGUAACACAUAAUAUAGAUGUUGCUUUAUUCUAUUGACUUCCUCCUCAUGGAACGUACCUUAUUAUCAAAGUAAUAUUCUAAUGAUAAAAUAUAGAAUUAAUGAUAUUCUAAAAAGAAAAUAAGUAUUAAAUAUUUUUAUCGGUGUUAGCCUGUAAUUACAAUAGUUUCACUCUUAAUAUUUCUAGAGCCACAGAUGUAUUCACUGAUUAGGGUUGAUUCAACCACUACUAAACAUGUCAGUUCUGGGAUCAUUUCAGCAAUUACUUCUCUUAUUCCUUUAUUCGAAGGAUAUCACGAGUUUUGAUAUACAGUAAAUAUCAAGUCUGAGAACGUAUUUCCAUCAUAAACAUAGAUUAAAAACUUCCUUUCAAGCUCAACUUGAAGAUAAGGGAAGUUUGAGAGUAUUUUGUUACUCAAACCUUUAUUCGAUUAUCAACAUACAUGUAUAUAAUCAACUAUGUGUAUUUUUAUAUCACUUGAAGCAAUCAGAAUAGCAAUUUUUCAUUUGAAAUACAACUUCCAAACCAUUUUUUAAAAAUAUUCUUGAGUCUUUCUUAAUCAAUAUAAAUCAAACUCUUAAAAAUUUGACUUUGAGCAAAUCCUUCCUAGAAUAUUUUUCAUAAGAGAUAAUCACACAUUAUCUCGAAUUUAUUAUGCAUAACAUUCAUCCUGAAAUCAUAUUAUUUCAUCAACACUAUCCCACAGAACUGCUCUAUGUGAACAUUUGAAUACAUGUUAGCAAGUUAUAAAGCAUGUCCAAAGCUGUAGCCUAUAUUUUCAUUUUUUGUAUACAUAACCAUAGAGAAACAAUAGCGUAAGUAAUAACAUGCUAUUGUUUCUGUAUGACAUAACUCAGAUAUAUUCAUUUUAUGAAAAUAAGAAUAAUUUCCUUCAUUGGUGCUCCACGGUACAGAUGUUUCAGUGUAUUUAAGUUACCUAGUUGGAACAAUAGAAGAAUACAUUAUCCUGAUUAUAAGCGGUAUAAGCUUUUUUGAAAACAGGUUGAAAUAGUCACACAUUAUUUACAUCGGUAGAUCAAUAUAUGAAUAUUAGAAUAGGAAUAAUAUCUAGAAUAUCUAUGCAGUUGUGUAGAAAUUGUAGUGAGCUAUUACAAAUCACAGACUUUUCCAAAGUUGAAACGUCACCAUGUCCCGUAUUUAUCCAAGAUGAUAAUUUAAAAUUUCUAAAUUUCAUAUCGCAAGUCUUGAUUUCACGUUUUAUUCAAAAAAUAAUAAUAAAAAAACAAAUAAUUUCUUGAAGUCAAAUGAAUAAUGGAUAACGUAAUGAAUUGUAUUGCGAGAUAAUACAUAUUGAGACUUAUCAAUGUAUUCCUAAACACCUUUUGUCUGCUAGAUACAUUCUAGGAAAUGAGAGGAUGGACAUAAGACUGUUCGAUGAAUAGAAAAUAUAUUUUUCAAGAAGGUUUAAUAACGAUUCUACAGCAUUGUUUCACAAAAUAUCCAAUAUUUUAUUCAGCUUAGGUAUAUAAGAAAUCUGAAUUUCCUCAAAAUCAUAUUUCAUUAUGAAUAUUAACAAUAUUUUUGUCCUGUAAAGAGUGAUUAAGUAUCAAGACCAUUCAAUGAUAAUAACAGAAAUUUCAGAACAAUAGCUACACAACUUCCGUAUAAGAAAAUCAUUUAAACAUUUGACUCAUAUUGUUAACAAUAUUUUUCCUUUAAUUCCAGUUAGUACUCGCGUCACACACUCAACUUUAUAUAUCGACCAUUAUGGCCAAUAACCGGAAUAAAGCACUUGAAAGUUACAGGUAUAAUUAUAGUGUUGGUAGUGUGCUGGAAUGUGGUUCAAAAUUUAGAAACCUACCUUACAUGGAAUAGCAUUCUGAAAUCCAGAUAAAUGUGUAAUGAUAAAAUAACAUAAUAUUUGUAUGUAACUUCAUGUACUAGACAGGGGUAGUUGAUCUCUUCUUCAUUGUUAGUUUUAUUUUCAAGAGUAGACGCAUAUAUACAUACACAAUGUAUUGUGCUAAGAUAUUAUAAAUCCGCAAAUAACUUGAUGUUGAUGGUAUGUUGAUAUUGAACUAGAUAUAACAGUAAUUAUCUGUGAUUACAGUGAUCUUGGAGAUGAGUGUUCUUAUGUAUGAUUUCUUAUCUAUCAAUUAUAGUCUUAUAGAAUACUCUCUCAAUUGUAUUAUUAUACGAAAUGUACCGUACUGCUUUGCAUAGUAGGGCUACCUUUUGUUAACGAUGAGAUCCAAAAAGUAUUUAAUUAUCCGUAACAUCUUCAAUCAAAUAUUACUCCAAAAAGAUAUUCAUGAAUCCACAACACUAUACUUUAGAUAAUAUCAUGUGGAUAAAUUUAAUAUUUUCCAGAGAGUAGGUAUUGAAGAAUUUUCGGUUCAAGUAACUAUAUAUUCUUGUAUGCAAACAGGUCAUAUAUUAUUAGUUUAGCUAGAAAUAAAUUUUGACACAUUGGUGCUUCGUAAUAUUAUUAUUAUCAAAUGAGAGUACUUGAAACAUGAUUUUAGUCAUCCAAGAUGUACGGUACCCGAAUUUUGAAUUCAAUUGUUUUUGCACCUUUAGUUGAUUUAUCUCAAUCCUCAAAGAUAAAUAUUUCAGCUUUCAACCUUCUAUUGAACACUGAAAAUAAAAUUUAUCAUUCAGGUAUGUUUUAUUUGAGUUUCUUGUUGAUAGGUAGCUUGGACAACAUAAUAUAUAGAAAAUAUCCAUACCUACAUAUUUAAGGAAUUAUGGUAUUCAAGCUGUUGACAGAUUCUAAAGUGCAAUAACCUCAAGUGAAACUUAUGGAUCUUUAAUCAAUCGAGCUUAUUCUGAGGUAUAGGGAGAAGUCAUUGCCGUGUUUAUUCUUGGAAUGCAGAUUACACAAAUAAACAUGAUCAUCGAUCAUGUUUUAAAAGGAUUCGAAUUAUUUGUAAAAAUUGUAAUGUUAACUUAUUCCUGGCUUGAAUUUUUUCAAUGAUUUGCUUUCCAAAUUGUUAUACUAUAUUCUUGUUAAGCUGUUCUCAGAUUCUUGAAAAGAUAUCUUUUAUAUGAAUUUGAAUAAAACAGAAUUUCUGGAUA